GCGGCGACCUGGGCGGUCGUCAACGCGCCGACCUGGGUGGUCGUCAGGGCGGAUACCUGGUUGGAGUCCAGGGCCGCGAUU
rnacentral:tRNA from 1 species